rnacentral:rRNA from 1 species
GACGAACCGUGCAAACGUUGUUCGGAAUCACUGGGCUUAAAGGGCGCGUAGGCGGUCGGUCAAGUCAGGGGUGAAAUCCUGCAGCUCAACUGUAGAAGUGCCUUUGAUACUGGCCGGCUCGAGGGAGGUAGGGGUCUGUGGAACUUCUGGUGGAGCGGUGAAAUGCGUUGAUAUCAGAAGGAACGCCGGUGGCGAAAGCGACAGACUGGACCUCUUCUGACGCUGAGGCGCGAAAGCCAGGGGAGCAAACGGG